rnacentral:rRNA from 1 species
ACGAACCGGACGAACGUUAUUCGGAAUUACUGGGCUUAAAGAGUACGUAGGCGGCUUGGUAGGUUGGGUGUGAAAUCCCACAGCUCAACUGUGGAACUGCGCUCAAAACCACCAGGCUUGAGGGAGACAGGGGUAAGCGGAACUGAUGGUGGAGCGGUGAAAUGCGUUGAUAUCAUCAGGAACACCGGUGGCGAAGGCGGCUUACUGGGUCUUUUCUGACGCUGAGGUACGAAAGCUAGGGUAGCGAACGGG